UACAGAGGUCCCAAGCGUUACUGAGAAUCACUGGGUUUAAAGGGUGCGUAGGUGGUCCGUUAAGUCAGUUGUGAAAUCCCCGGGCUCAACCCGGGAAAUGCUUCUGAUACUGGCGGACUUGAGGCCAGUAGGGGUCACUAGAACUGACGGUGGAGCGGUGAAAUGCGUAGAUAUCGUCAGGAAUGCCGGUGGUGAAGACGGGUGACUGGGCUGGUUCUGACACUGAGGCACGAAUGCGUGGGGAGCGAACGGG
rnacentral:rRNA from 1 species